GAGUGAGUUGGAAACAGAAUCCACGGUUUAUUAUCAUGCACUAGUAUGAGACACAUUUAUGAACCAAUUGGAUAGAUUCUGUUUUACGUUUGUUGACUAAACCCUCUUAACCAUUUCCUGGAUAUCCAUUCAAUCACACCAUUAUCAUGUAAUUACUAAACUGGCAUUUUCCCCACCUGGGUGAUUGGUUACUCGACAGCCAUCAUUUACCAGUGAUUUCCGAGCAACGCAUUUAAGUAUGAUUGGCAGAGGAUUAGUGGGGCAAAACGUGCAUUGAGUGACAGCCUGCAUACAGUUAGGCCGUGGCACGAUAUGAUAGUAUAUAGUUCAGUAACUAUAAUCACAGCCGACAAUUUAUCUAUAUCUUUAUGGAUCACCCUACUAACCUGUAACAAGAGUCCUUGAUUUGAAAUAGCCACCUCUGUAGUGGAUGAAAUAUGUUGGGGAUAGUCUAUCCAGAAAUGUUCCAUUGUUCAAAGUUAGGGAGCUUCUUUCAGCUCAGGUCUUUGGUGGUAUAUGAUACAUAGUAACAUCACAAGAAUAUCUCUGGUAACAUUUCCUAUUUAAUGUUAUGGGGGAAUAAGACAGAAGGUAAGUGUAGUAUUAUCUCCCUCUGCUGGUUCUUUUAUGACAUAGAUAGUGCUACCAUGGCUUCUUUUUUAAUGUUUGCUGCUAUAAUGAAGGCAGGGAGAGAGAUGUUUAAAGUUCUCAUAUUGCGCAUGGAGCUCCCUCUACCGGUCACCUUUGGUAAACACGUAUAAGGAUGUUUUAGUUAUUUAUUAUGGUGCAUAAUUUAUCAGAGAUGCAAUCGCUAUAUUUGUUUUAGUUAUUCAUUUACACAAUUCAUUUGUUACACUCCUUGAAGGAAUAGAAGUACAAUCUCUAAGGAUCCAUAUCCUUGCAAAAAAAAGGAGUAUUUUUGUAGUAUCUCAAAUUUUUGUAUAUGCUUAAUAAUUGGUGAGUGAUAUUUUAGCUGGAAUUAAUAAAUGUUAAGUUUAUUUUGAAGGUUUUUCGUAUGACUGGGAAUAGUUGUUUUCCAGUUAGUGGUUUGUUUCUCAGAAUGUAUUUCUUCUAUAAACAAUUUUUUGUCUAUUGAAGCGAAUGAUAUUGUUCAUAAUAUAAACAAUGCAUGACAGAAUAUUCCAUCAUGGAUAUUCUUCCCUUAAGAACCCAUGACCGAAUAAUUCCAUCAUGUGGUAUUUUACCAGCAGGGAAACAAAGGAAUCCCAGGUAUCAUCAGGCUGACUGAGGAACUGUAUGUAGCACUCAUGUAGCCAUUUAAAUGCAUUGAGAACGCCGUGGGUGAGCAAUUGUGCUUAGCCACGGUGGUUCUGGGCUGACAGCUAUUCCCAGUGAAAGCGAUGGCACUCCCAAAAGUAUAAAACACAAAACUCCCCAAAGCAAAUAAUCUAAGGUACAGUCAUGGUGCUCAAGGCCUGGCACUGGCCUAACCUCUAGUAGCAGGAUUUCAGCAAAUCAAAUUAUAUUUUGGCAGAUUUUUUGUUGUUUUUUUCUCUGUUGUCAAGUGACAGACCCGCAGCAGCCAUGACAGUCAGAAAGAGACAUAUGAGCCAGGUAUGUGAUAUAUCGCUUUUUUUGAUGAUUUUAAACAUCUGUGUUUUAACAAUAAUGUAUUCAUACCACUUCAUUCUAUUCUAUUUAAACACCGAUUAUUGCAAUGUUUGGUAUGGCUUGAUAAAGGUCAUAUAUGGUGACCAAAAUAUUGUCAGACAGAGUAUACCAGAAAAUAUGAAUAUUAUUCUAUAACACACACUGUAAUACACACUAUUACACACACUGCAAGUCACAAUUAAAAGAAAAUUGUAUCACUUUUAAUUUUGUAGCUGUAUGAAACCAAAUAGUGGACAAUGUUUUUCUGACAAAAAGCUGAGAAAGCAGUGGUCCAAUUCAAUUUAUGACCCAAACCACUUUAACUAAGACAGUAAACAAACAGAUUUUGUUUAUUCUACGGAAUUAUAAAUCUAGUAUGUGCUUUCUCAAAUAAUUGAGAAACUUCCAUCUCAUGGUAAAGACUCAAAGUCCAUAUCGCAAAAACUCUUCUCAGAGAAAUAAGAAAAGGGGAUUAAUA